AGGAACAAAAGGAGAUGGAUAGUAAUGACUUCACUGUAGAAGUGAUGCCAAUGUUUUGCACUUUGAACGGGUUUAGGAUGUUGGCUGAGAAAACACUGAAUGUUGCCAGCUUCGAAGAUGGACUACUGUUUAAAAGUUUAGGGUUGGUAAUGUCUGUUCAAAUCAUAAUAUUGUGAAAUAAUAUUACACUUAUUAUGUUAUAAUGGAAUAUAUUUUUGUCAAAUCUGAAUUUUCA